GCUUAACACAUGCAAGUCGAACGAUGAAGCCCAGCUUGCUGGGUGGAUUAGUGGCGAACGGGUGAGUAACACGUGAGUAACCUGCCCUUAACUCUGGGAUAAGCCUGGGAAACUGGGUCUAAUACCGGAUAGGACGAUGGUUUGGAUGCCAUUGUGGAAAGUUUUUCGGUGUGGGAUGAGCUCGCGGCCUAUCAGCUUGUUGGUGAGGUAAUGGCUCACCAAGGCGACGACGGGUAGCCGGCCUGAGAGG
rnacentral:rRNA from 1 species